rnacentral:tRNA from 1 species
GUGCCCGUAGUUCAGCGGAUAGAACGCCAGAUUGCGGAUCUGGAAGUCGCAGGUUCGAGUCCUGCCGGGCACA